GACGAACGCUGGCGGCGUGCUUAACACAUGCAAGUCGAGCGGUAAGGCCCUUUCUGGGGGUACACGAGCGGCGAACGGGUGAGUAACACGUGGGUGACCUGCCCUCAGCUCUGGGAUAAGCCUGGGAAACCGGGUCUAAUACUGGAUAUGACUCCAUGACGCAUGUUGUGGGGUGGAAAGCCUUGUGCGGCUGAGGAUGGGCCCGCGGCCUAUCAGCUUGUUGGUGGGGNGAUGGCCUACCAAGGCGACGACGGGUAGCCGGCCUGAGAGGGCGACCGGCCACACUGGGACUGAGACACGGCCCAGACUCCUACGGGAGGGCAGCAGUGGGGAAUCUUGCGCAAUGGGCGAAAGCCUGACGCAGCGACGCCGCGUGAGGGAUGACGGCCUGGUU
rnacentral:rRNA from 1 species